UAAGCAGGUGUCUGGUUACUCAAUAAAACA
rnacentral:piRNA from 1 species